AAUCCAUAGGUUAAUGAGGCGAACCGGGGGAACUGAAACAUCUAAGUACCCCGAGGAAAAGAAAUCAACCGAGAUUCCCCCAGUAGCGGCGAGCGAACGGGGAGGAGCCCAGAGCCUGAAUCAGCAUGUGUGUUAGUGGAAGCGUCUGGAAAGGCGCGCGAUACAGGGUGACAGCCCCGUACACAAAAGCGCAUGUGCUGUGAGCUCGAUGAGUAGGGCGGGACACGUGGUAUCCUGUCUGAAUAUGGGGGGACCAUCCUCCAAGGCUAAAUACUCCUGACUGACCGAUAGUGAACCAGUACCGUGAGGGAAAGGCGAAAAGAACCCCGGCGAGGGGAGUGAAAAAGAACCUGAAACCGUGUACGUACAAGCAGUGGGAGCACAGGUUUACCUGUGUGACUGCGUACCUUUUGUAUAAUGGGUCAGCGACUUAUAUUCUGUAGCAAGGUUAACCGUAUAGGGGAGCCGGAGGGAAACCGAGUCUUAAUUGGGCGUUAAGUUGCAGGGUAUAGACCCGAAACCCGGUGAUCUAGCCAUGGGCAGGUUGAAGGUUGGGUAACACUAACUGGAGGACCGAACCGACUAAUGUUGAAAAAUUAGCGGAUGACCUGUGGCUGGGGGUGAAAGGCCAAUCAAACCGGGAGAUAGCUGGUUCUCCCCGAAAGCUAUUUAGGUAGCGCCUCGUGAAUUCAUCUCCGGGGGUAGAGCACUGUUUCGGCUAGGGGGCCAUCCCGGCUUACCAACCCGAUGCAAACUGCGAAUACCGGAGAAUGUUAUCACGGGAGACACACGGCGGGUGCUAACGUCCGUCGUGAAGAGGGAAACAACCCAGACCGCCAGCUAAGGUCCCAAAGUCAUGGUUAAGUGGGAAACGAUGUGGGAAGGCCCAGACAGCCAGGAUGUUGGCUUAGAAGCAGCCAUCAUUUAAAGAAAGCGUAAUAGCUCACUGGUCGAGUCGGCCUGCGCGGAAGAUGUAACGGGGCUAAACCAUGCACCGAAGCUGCGGCAGCGAACGUAUCACCCAAGACAACUUUACGGAGUUGACGAUUGACGGAGCGAAGCGACGUCAAAGCGUUCAUUAAAGUCGAGUUGGCUUAGGGAUACGUUCGUUGGGUAGGGGAGCGUUCUGUAAGCCUGUGAAGGUGUGUCGUGAGGCAUGCUGGAGGUAUCAGAAGUGCGAAUGCUGACAUAAGUAACGAUAAAGCGGGUGAAAAGCCCGCUCGCCGGAAGACCAAGGGUUCCUGUCCAACGUUAAUCGGGGCAGGGUGAGUCGACCCCUAAGGCGAGGCCGAAAGGCGUAGUCGAUGGGAAACGGGUUAAUAUUCCCGUACUUGGUGUUACUGCGAAGGGGGGACGGAGAAGGCUAUGUUGGCCGGGCGACGGUU
rnacentral:rRNA from 2 species